GUGUCAGCAGCCGCGGUAAUACGGAGGGUGCAAGCGUUAAUCGGAAUUACUGGGCGUAAAGCGAGUGUAGGUGGCUGCAUAAGUCGGAUGUGAAAGCCCUGGGCUUAACCUGGGAAUUGCAUUCGAUACUGUGUGGCUAGAGUCUGAUAGAGGGAAGUGGAAUUCCAGGUGUAGCGGUGAAAUGCGUAGAUAUCUGGAGGAACAUCAGUGGCGAAGGCGGCUUCCUGGAUCAAGACUGACACUGAGGCUCGAAAGCGUGGGGAGCAAACAGGAUUAGAUACCCCCGUAGUCC
rnacentral:rRNA from 1 species